AGGGUUUGAUCAUGGCUCAGGAUGAACGCUGGCGGCGUGCUUAACACAUGCAAGUCGAACGAACCUUCGGGUUAGUGGCGGACGGGUGAGUAACGCGUGAGAAUCUGCCCUCAGGAGGGGGAUAACGGUUGGAAACGACCGCUAAUACCCCAUAUGCCUACUGGUGAAAUGAAUUUCGCCUGAGGAUGAGCUCGCGUCUGAUUAGCUAGUUGGUGAGGUAAUGGCUCACCAAGGCUUCGAUCAGUAGCUGGUCUGAGAGGAUGAUCAGCCACACUGGGACUGAGACACGGCCCAGACUCCUACGGGAGGCAGCAGUGGGGAAUUUUCCGCAAUGGGCGAAAGCCUGACGGAGCAACGCCGCGUGAGGGACGAAGGCCUCUGGGCUGUAAACCUCUUUUCUCAAGGAAGAAGAUAUGACGGUACUUGAGGAAUAAGCCACGGCUAAUUCCGUGCCAGCAGCCGCGGUAAUACGGGAGUGGCAAGCGUUAUCCGGAAUUAUUGGGCGUAAAGCGUCCGCAGGCGGCUUUUCAAGUCUGCUGUUAAAGCGUGGAGCUUAACUCCAUCAUGGCAGUGGAAACUGAAAGGCUUGAGUAUGGUAGGGGCAGAGGGAAUUCCCGGUGUAGCGGUGAAAUGCGUAGAUAUCGGGAAGAACACCAGUGGCGAAGGCGCUCUGCUGGGCCAUUACUGACGCUCAUGGACGAAAGCCAGGGGAGCGAAAGGGAUUAGAUACCCCUGUAGUCCUGGCCGUAAACGAUGAACACUAGGUGUCGGGGGAAUCGACCCCUUCGGUGUCGUAGCUAACGCGUUAAGUGUUCCGCCUGGGGAGUACGCACGCAAGUGUGAAACUCAAAGGAAUUGACGGGGGCCCGCACAAGCGGUGGAGUAUGUGGUUUAAUUCGAUGCAACGCGAAGAACCUUACCAGGGUUUGACAUCCUGCGAACCUCUUAGAAAUUUGAGGGUGCCUUCGGGAAUGCAGUGACAGGUGGUGCAUGGCUGUCGUCAGCUCGUGUCGUGAGAUGUUGGGUUAAGUCCCGCAACGAGCGCAACCCACGUUUUUAGUUGCCAGCAUUUAGUUGGGCACUCUGAAAGAACUGCCAGUGAUAAGCUGGAGGAAGGUGGGGAUGACGUCAAGUCCUCAUGGCCCUUACGUGUUGGGCUACACACGUGCUACAAUGGUAUCUACAACAGGAAGCAAAACGGCGACGUUAAGCAAAUCCUUAAAAGAUACCUCAGUUCGGAUUGUACUCUGCAACUCGAGUACAUGAAGCUGGAAUUACUAGUAAUCGUGGAUCAGCGUGCCACGGUGAAUGCGUUCCCGGGUCUUGUACACACCGCCCGUCACACCAUGGGAGUUGG
rnacentral:rRNA from 1 species